CCAGUGGCCUUGAGUGGCCCGGGAUGGAAGACUGUUCGCAACAGAGAACCUGUCGCAUAUUCCAUAACAACUGUCCUGGCAAGACAAGGCAUGUGAGCCCCCAGGGACUUCUGGGCAAUUGGCCCUUCGAUGUACAGGUGGAUCACCCAUGGCGCCAGAUUGAGUGGCCCAGGAUGGAAGACCAUUGGCAUCGGAGACCCAUCACAUAUUCCAUGACUCCCAGCCUGGAAAGUCGAGGCCUACGAGCCGCCACGGGCCACUGGACACGCGGCCCUUGGUGGUACAGGUGGAACACCAAUGGCUGUGCAUUUGGAGCGAAGGACAACAGUGGCAGAUUUAUGGACCAUCCAACAGUUUUCCUCUCCCAUAAUCAGUUCCUCUCUGGCGGAAUUCCAGAUCCACAAGUGACUGGAAGUGAUGUUAGAGAGAAGGGAUAUUUUGCUGCUUGGAAUUCCACUGCCACCCCCAAAGAAGUGCUGUUUUCGUCACUUGUAUGAGCUCCUUUCUCUGGGAAAAUUCACAGCAUUGCUUUCUAGAGACUGACAUGUUCCAAAAACUAGGUUUCAUAUGAAUGAACUUAUUCCUUCCCCUUGAGAUGAGACAUAAAGAAAAAUGUUAGGAAUAAUUCUGCCUCCAUCCUCAAAGGCCUGUGUGAAUUCUCACAAAGAAGAUGACUUCCUGGGAGCUCUUUUGAGCAUGAAUGAUACCAGUAAACCCCUGAAGGAAGACUCUCAGACAGAGCCCUUUUGCCUCCCUCUUGUCUGAGGGCUGCCCUCUGAAGAGGUGAUGACCACAGAGACAAGGUGGAUUUGUUACUGUAGGUGCCAUUACUUCUGCCACCAGCUUCUCCAGUACAGUGACAGUCUUCUUUGUGCAUGGAAACUCUGCUCUUUCCUGUGUUGCAGUGGAUACCUCCUGCAGAUAAGAAAUGGUUAACUGAGAAAUGCUCAUGUUGGGAUAUCAUCGAUGAGACUUUAAUUUGGGCAUGGUGACUGUUUCCCUUGCUUCCACUUGACUCAAUCCCAGGAGCCUCAGUAGAGGAAAUUAUAUUGCACAAGAAACUCAAAGUGAUGGAAUUGCUUAGUACUCCCAUAAAUAUACAUUUAUAAUUUUCAUUUGCCAUGUAGUAAAUUAAAAAAAUAAGAUCUAUUAAAUUUUUUCAAAAAUUCAAAGCAUAUCUAAACAUCUAAUAUAUAAAUUAAGUGCCCUUUUCUCUCCUAAUCCUAUCUCCGAGUUUUCCUCUAUUAAGGGAGUUGUGUGCCUUCUUUAAGUAGAUAGAUGCACACACACAGACACAAGCUAUUUUAGGGGGUUCUGGAAGUAGAGCUAUAUUGUACACAUUAUUCUGCAAAUUUGCUUUCAUUUAACAGUUUUUUCAAUGCCCUUUUUUCUGUUUCAGUAAUACAUACCUGUGUCAUCUGUUGAAUGACUGCAUGAUUGUUUUGUACAUGAAAUAUAAUUAAAUGUUUUAAACAUUUCUUAUUCAUAGAUAUUUAUGUUAGUACCAAAUUCUGUGCAAUGAACCUCCCUAUAUAUCAAUAAUUUGCAUUUGUCUAUUAUAUCAUAAUAAAUUACUUAGCAGUUAAAAUACUGGGAUUAAGUAUAUGCAUAUUUCAAAUUUUGAAAAUGAUUGCAUGAUUUCCUUAAAUACAUGGUAACAACUUAAUCCUCAAAUGAACAUGAAUGAGAUUGCCAACUUUCCCACAAUCUCACAGAUAAUGAAUUUUAUGAAUAUUUGAGAUCUUUGCCAGUGUGAUAGCCCAAACUAUUGUCUUAAAUUGUAUUUCUUUUGUUUUUGAGUUUGAUCAUUUUUUCAUAUGUUUAUUAGCCAUCUGUAUUUUUUAUUUUAUGUCCAAUUUUGGGGCUGUGGGGAGGUUUUAGUCCUUUGCUGAUUUCAAAGAGCUCAUUUAUUAUUGGGGGAAUAAGCUUUGGAUUGUCACGCAUUACAGAUAUUUUUAACAUACUUUUAAGCUUCGUUUUUGUUAUAAGAAUGUAUUUGAUUGUUAUAUGUCCAGGUAUAACCAUGUUCACUUCUAUGGCUUCUGAGUUCAUGUCAUUUUGGAAAGAUAUUUAUACUGAUCUCAUAGAACUCUUCAUCUAUGUUAACUUCUAAUUCUUUUGUGUUUUUUUAAUUCAAGUUCUUAAAUCACAGAAAUUUUUUUAUUUGAAAUCUUAAAGUUGCCAAGUUAUUUGCCAUUACCUGCGAUUAUUUGCCAAUAAUUGCCCAUUUAUCUGUAAUGCCAUCUUGCACAUAUGCUGUAUUCUCAUCUAUGACUGACUCCAUUUUUGUUCUGUGGGUUGUGUGUCUCUUCUUCUGCCUCCUGUCUCGUGUCUUCUCUUAGAAGAAAUUACAGUUUAGACUGCAAUUUCAUCGACUUUUAAUAAAUUAAUUUAGGGGAGAAUUGGUUUUUAAUAAUAGUCUUCCUAUUCAAGGACAAGGUAUGUCUGUCUUUUUAUUCAGUAAUUUUAAUUAUUGUUAAUAUUUUCACUUUGUGGCAGGAGUAUCUUCCUUCAGUUUAUUUUCUUACUUGAUAAUUUUUCUGUAUCUGAAAAGUUUUGUGUUGUUUUAGGGGUAAGUGGUCUCCUUCCUCUUUUUCAUGGAGUUUCUUUUUUCAAAUUACAGACUAAAUCCUUUGAAAAUACUGAUAGUUGUGAUUCUCCUCUCCCGGAUUAUCUGGAUUGUGGAAAUAUCACUCACCCUUGAUUUAGUUAGGUUUUAAUGGACCCUUCUUGGUUUGACCAGCAUGUUUCUGGUCUAUUACACAAAAAGACUCUCAGAGACAGCUAUAAGCAAGCAAAGCUGAGUUUAUUAAAACUACAACAGAAAGGGAAAACAGUACUUUGACAAGGUUUAGUAGUAUUUCAAAAGCAGGAAAUUAAGGUUGUGAGGGAUGGGAUGACGGUUUAAGGUAGGAAUUUCAAGGCAGAAAACUGUCUUGUUGUUUGGUCAUUACGUCAUAUCUAACUCUUUUGCAGCCCCACGGCUCCUCUGUUCAUGGGAUUUCCCAGACAAGAAUACUGGAGUGGGUUGCCAUUUCCUUCUCCAGGGGAUCUUUCUGACCCAGGGAUUGAAUCCACAUCUCCCGCAUUGGCAGGUGGUUUUCUUUACCACUGAGUCACCAGGGAAGCAAGGAACUGGUUAGGAGAGGGCAAAAUUCAUCCUGUGAGAGUUUAAACCUGGUGAAAGAGUAAGAUGAAAAUGUUGAUUGAAUUUAGAUAAUCAAAUUUUUGUCUGAUGAAUGAGCUAUUUCCCUAUGUGAAUAAUAUAUUAUCAAUGAUAGAAGAACUGUUUGGGUAGAUGAACAAAUUUGAGUGUAUUUGUUGGUUUACAGUUCUGUCUUGUUUAUAAGACCCUGAUGGGGGUGGUAUCAGGUCUUAUUAGUUCCAAUAGUUAAGUUAUUUUGAUGUAAAUGAUCUCAGUCAUCAAAAUGCCAAUUUUAAAUUUGAGAUUCUUAUAUAUUAUGUUAGGUAAAGUCUCUUAGCUUCUACAUAUUUCUUAAGGAAUUUUCAUCAAAACCAAGUGGUGAAAUGUAACCAAAUACUUUUUGCAUAAACAAUUAUAUUAUUCUUUAAACUUUUGUCAUUGUGAAAUAAUCCAUUUUUACUAUUGAAAUUUUUUUAUUCCUUUUAUUGUUCAUUCAACAAAUUCCUUUUGGUUUUAAUUUCACUAUUGAAUUAUGAGUAUCUUCGUUUGAUUUGGAAUUUUUGCAGGAAUACUGCUAACUGAAAUUGAUCUGUAAUUUUAUUUUUUGUUCUAUUUUUGUCAUGUUUGUAUAUUGGAUUUUCUGAUUGUGUUUAAAUAAUUUUAGGAUUUUCUUUUUAUUCUGUGCUCUAGAAUAGGUUGGAAAGCUUUAGCUUUCAUCCGCAGUUAAGCAAACACAUAAUUUAAGUCAUCUGAACUCUCCUUUGUGUUUUUGGUGGUUUUCACAUUUUCUAUGGUUAUUGCUUAUUUUUUGUUUUAUACCUUACAUUUAACUUGUUAACUAGUAGAAAAUCACAGUCAAGUAGAUUUUCAAACACAGUAGAAUGAAGUAAUUCAAAAUGUUCAUUAAUUUCUCUCAUUUCAACUAAUAUCCAUUUCCAUCCAGUUUUGAUUAUUUCUGCUGUGUCUUUUUUAAUGUAAUAAGUUUGACUCAUGGAUUUUUAGUAUCACUCGUUGUCCAUUCCCCUGUUCCCCAGUCAGCUCUCAGGUAUUACUUAUCAGUGUAUCUUUUUAAUGUUUUAAUUAAUUUAUUUUUUCUACAUUCCCUUGUGGUUUUUUUCCUAAUGAAUUCUUAAACAUGUGUAAUUCAUUGAUUUUAAAGUGUUCUUGGUAAUGGAAGACUUCCUCUGUUCUGAUUUUUAUAAAAAUUCAUAAUUAACACAUUGUAAGCAUACAGAGUAUAAGGAGAAAAGAACUAUGACCUUGCAAAUACCAGUAAUCCAGGUUCUACCACAUUUUGCCAUAUUCACUUCAUGACGCUUUUGAAGUAUUUUUAAAUAAGUUAGAGAACUCAUAACACUGAUUUCCUCCAGAAGCAUUUUACAUUUUUCACUUUCAUUUUUCAAAUCAUAAUAUAUGUUACAAAAUUCAAAAUUUACAAAGGGAUUUUCACCUUUUCAGUGAAAGGUAAUUUACCUUUUCAGUUCUAUCUUCCAUAGCCACCCAAUUUCCCUUUCCUGGAGACAGCUAGUCUUAUGGUUUCUUGUGUCUCCUUUCAAACAUAUAUAUACACACAUCACAAAUACACAUCCCCAAAUGUGUGUGAGUAUAUACAUAGAUA
rnacentral:lncRNA from 1 species